UGGGGAAUAUUGCACAAUGGGCGCAAGCCUGAUGCAGCAAUGCCGCGUGUGUGAAGAAGGCCUUAGGGUUGUAAAGCACUUUCAAUAGAGAUGAAAAGCUUGAGAAUAAUACUUUCAAGUAUUGACGUAACCUAUAGAAGAAGCACCGGCUAAUUCCGUGCCAGCAGCCGCGGUAAUACGGAAGGUGCGAGCGUUAAUCGGAAUUACUGGGCGUAAAGCGCGCGUAGGCUGUUAAAUAAGUCGUAUGUGAAAUCCCCGGGCUUAACCUGGGAACUGCAUCCGAAACUAUUUAGCUAGAGUAUGGGAGAGGGAAGUAGAAUUUCCGGUGUAGCGGUGAAAUGCGUAGAUAUCGGAAGGAAUACCAGUGGCGAAGGCGGCUUCCUGGACCAAUACUGACGCUGAGGUGCGAAAGCGUGGGGAGCAAACAGG
rnacentral:rRNA from 1 species